AUUGAACGCUGGCGGCAUGCUUUACACAUGCAAGUCGAACGGUAACAGGCCGCAAGGUGCUGACGAGUGGCGAACGGGUGAGUAAUGCAUCGGAACGUGCCCAGUCGUGGGGGAUAACGCAGCGAAAGCUGUGCUAAUACCGCAUACGAUCUAUGGAUGAAAGCGGGGGACCGUAAGGCCUCGCGCGAUUGGAGCGGCCGAUGUCAGAUUAGGUAGUUGGUGGGGUAAAGGCCCACCAAGCCAACGAUCUGUAGCUGGUCUGAGAGGACGACCAGCCACACUGGGACUGAGACACGGCCCAGACUCCUACGGGAGGCAGCAGUGGGGAAUUUUGGACAAUGGGCGCAGGCCUGAUCCAGCAAUGCCGCGUGCAGGAAGAAGGCCUUCGGGUUGUAAACUGCUUUUGUACGGAACGAAACGGUCUGGGUUAAUACCCUGGGCUAAUGACGGUACCGUAAGAAUAAGCACCGGCUAACUACGUGCCAGCAGCCGCCGUAACAC
rnacentral:rRNA from 1 species